rnacentral:rRNA from 1 species
UACGGAGGGUGCAAGCGUUGUCCGGAAUCACUGGGCGUAAAGCGCACGUAGGCGGCUUUUUAAGUCAGAGGUGAAAUCCUGGAGCUCAACUCCAGAACUGCCUUCGAUACUGAAGAGCUCGAGUCCGGGAGAGGUGAGUGGAACUGCGAGUGUAGAGGUGAAAAUUCGUAGAUAUUCGCAAGAACACCGGUGGCGAAGGCGGCCAACUGGACGAAGUACUGACGCUGAGACACGAAAGCGUGGGGAGCAAACAGG